UUUGUUUUAUCUGAGGCUAUUUCCUUCAUCCAUAUCUCAUUUAUAGCUUUUGCAUUCGCAAGUCUUUGCUUUUGUUUAGUGAUUUUUGACCAUUCAUAGCUUUUGCAGCUCGUGGUUAGUGUACGUUGAAAUAAUAGGAGAAGGUUUCAAAGAAGAGAGCACCGAUGAGCAAGAAACCGUAAGAUGACUAAAACGAAAUUAGGAUUGUGCUUGGCACACAUGCUUUUCGCACUUCUGUUAUCACAUUUUAGUCUGAUGGGAUGAAAGUUACGAUGUUACAUGAGGAUUUCCAUUCUGUUGGCACACAUGCUCUUCACACUUCUGUUGGCACACAUAUCUUAAGCUGUAGUAGUAGUUUUUUUAGUUAAUUUCAGAACUUUUGGUUAUCGGCUUGUUUUGCUUAAACCAGUUUCAAGAUUGUCGUUCAAUUUAUUAUGUGUCUUUAAAUAUUCUAAAGACUCUAUAUAGUAGUAGUUUUUUAGUUAAUUUCAGAACUUCACUAAUAACAGUAAUGGAAUGAAAAGAGAUGAAAGAUAUGCCUUGUUUCAAAAGGUAUGAUUUUAAUGAAGAUACAAAUGGUAGCUUCCAUGUUUCAUGAGUUUUAUUGCUUCCAAACCUAACAGACUAUUAGAUCAUGUUUUCAUUAUCUAUUCCCCUUAUGUUUAAACAAAGUUGAUGCAUUUUUCUGAUGCUUUUGCAUCUUUUUUAUCUUUCUAUCUGUUCUAAUAUUUCAGGCAACUAACUUUAUUCUGGCUUGCACUUGUUUGGAAAAUAGCUUUGAUGUUGUUUAAUCUCUAAUGUAUUUAGUAAAAAGGCUGAUUUGGGUGUAUUUGGUGAACCAGUUCCGUCAAUGCUUGUAUAGUGAGCUUAAAGCACGCGAUAAAAGAGAGAUGAAUACUUUCCACAUUUUUAAAUCUCUUGUUCAGUGGAGCCGUGUGAUAACGCCAAAAUACAAUAUUUGUUUCAUAAAGCUUGUGCUAAAAGAAUAUCUGAUAUAUCUAGUAAGAUUAGGAAAAAGGCGACAAAGCCGGAUUGGAUGGUUGAAAAUGUUUAAGCGUAAAUUCUUGAUGGGUGGAAAACGGAAGAAUUCAAAAACUUCUCUCAACAAAAUAAGACUAAUCGAGAAUCAACCAGAGGGAGAGCGGUCCAUACCACGGGACAUAAAGCUCAUCAUGAUGUUGCUAUAGAAUUGGAGAAGAAGUUAGGCUGACCACUAAAUCCGGACGAGUUCCUCAUGGCUAACCCCAAAAAGAAGAAUGGGCAAUGGGUUGACCGUCGUGCAGAGAAAACACAUGAAUGAUCUAUAUCAUGAUAGCUUUCAGUCCAACGAUGGAUUUCGUUAUACGAAUAUAUGUUAAAACAUGUGAAACAAUGAAAAUUAUGGUUUAUUGUGGUCUGCAUAAAUUGCGGAAAUAUCUCUAGUGCAAAAAGUACUUUUUACAUCGGGUCUUGGUCCGAUAUAAAUCCAGCGAUAUAGUAAAUCAGAGACAUUUUAUAUCGGGCCACGACCCGAUGUGAAAAAUUAACAUACCACAUCGGUUGAAUUCAGAUGUCUGAUGUGAAAAAUAAUUCAAUUUUUUCAUUAAAAAAUAUAUAUGCCAUAAUUUACAUCGGUGAAUUCGACGGACCGAUGUAAUAUAUAGUUUUUACAUCGGUUUUUCCAGUUUCCCGAUGUAAUAUAUAUGUUUUUACAUUUGUUUCCUCAAUGGUCCGAUGUAAUAUAUUUUCUUCUUUUAAGAGAAUUCUAGGUAUUUUUGCUGUAAUUUUUUUUGUACCUAAUUUUUCAUAUGUUUCCAAUACCACACAGACCAAAAUUAGGUCGCUAUUUUUCACAUUUUCCCACAUCACACAGACCACAUUUAGGUCACUAUUUUCAUAUUUUUCUAACAAGUGAAGGAUAAUUUCAUUGCACUAAAUAGCUAGGAUGCAUAUAUAUAUUCUUCAAAAUGAACAGUUGAUUUACAAAAGUAUUAAUCUAGGAUACACAAGUGUACAAAAUUAUAAAAACUUUACACACGGUGGACUACGGCAAAAUAACAAAACAACAAAUAUCCAACUAUUUAAGUACUUUCGCGCACUUGAAAUACCAACAUGCAUCCACGAGAAGACAAGUUGUAGCUUCUGAAGAUAACACCAAAAUUACUUUUGCUGACAAUAAACAAUAACACUAAUUAACAUCAGCAGACAACACCAAAGUCAAUAAACUCGAAUCAGAAAUAUAGACAAUUCCAUGUAACUCACCAGAUAAAGCUUAAUCUUUAUAUGACUCAAAGAAACAUUUUACCCAACGGAGUCGCAAAUCAUCUUGUGUUAAUUCUGUAGGGUCAUCAAAUACCUACAAUACGUAAAUAACAAUAUAGAGUUAUUCUUUAAAAAUUCACAUUAAGUUGCAAAACGCAAAGUAAAUAACAAAUUAAAGUUAUUUUAUUACCUGCAUCCAAGAUUCGGUUAUAUUGGCAAAGACAAUAUCCAACAUAUUUUUCAUCACAUAGUAC